AUGGCGAAGUAUUGCUGGGGAAGUUCCAUUGACAAGCGUUACCUCCAUUGGCUCUCUUGGGAUAAACUCGAGGUGCCGAAAGUGAAGGGCGGCAUGGGUUCUUGCAAUAUGCAGUUGGUCAACUUAGCGAUGAUUGGAAAACAUGGCUGGCGCCUUCUUACAAGACCGGAUUCUUUAUGUGCCAGGGUACUGAAGGGCAAAUAUUAUCCUCACACGGAUUUUCUCAAUGCUCCUGUUCCGGCUAGAGCUUCGGCAACCUGGAAGGCAAUUGUAGCAGGGCGAGAUGCACUCAAUGUUGGCCUCAUCCGUCGAGUUGGUGAUGGCUCAACCAUUUCAACAUGGACUGACAGUUGGAUUCCG
rnacentral:rRNA from 1 species